UACGUAGGGAGCAAGCGUUGUUCGGAUUUACUGGGCGUAAAGGGCGCGUAGGCGGCAGAUCAAGUCAGCUGUGAAAUCUCCGAGCUUAACUCGGAACUGUCAGCUGAUACUGUUUUGCUAGAGUGCGGAAGGGGCAAUCGGAAUUCUUGGUGUAGCGGUGAAAUGCGUAGAUAUCAAGAGGAACACCUGAGGUGAAGACGGGUUGCUGGGCCGACACUGACGCUGAGUGCGCGAAAGCGUGGGGAGCGAACAGG
rnacentral:rRNA from 1 species